GGUUUCGUGGUCGAGUAGUAAGAUCACUUGCCUCUCAACCUAGAGUCCCAAGUUCGAUUCCCGGAAGAGGAGCCA